ACGGAGCAWCGCCGCGUGARUGAUGAWGRYUUUCGGAUCGUAAAGCUCUGUUGUUAGGGAAGAACAAGUACCGUUCGAAUAGGGCGGUACCUUGACGGUACCUAACCAGAAAGCCACGGCUAACUACGUGCCAGCAGCCGCGGUAAUACGUAGGUGGCAAGCGUUGUCCGGAAUUAUUGGGCGUAAAGGGCUCGCAGGCGGUUUCUUAAGUCUGAUGUGAAAGCCCCCCGGCUCAACCGGGGAGGGUCAUUGGAAACUGGGGAACUUGAGUGCAGAAGAGGAGAGUGGAAUUCCACGUGUAGCGGUGAAAUGCGUAGAGAUGUGGAGGAACACCAGUGGCGAAGGCGACUCUCUGGUCUGUAACUGACGCUGAGGAGCGAAAGCGUGGGGAGCGAACAGGAUUAGAUACCCUGGUAGUCCACGCCGUAAACGAUGAGUGCUAAGUGUUAGGGGGUUUCCGCCCCUUAGUGCUGCAGCUAACGCAUUAAGCACUCCGCCUGGGGAGUACGGUCGCAAGACUGAAACUCAAAGGAAUUGACGGGGGCCCGCACAAGCGGUGGAGCAUGUGGUUUAAUUCGAAGCAACGCGAAGAACCUUACCAGGUCUUGACAUCCUCUGACAAUCCUAGAGAUAGGACGUCCCCUUUCGGGGGCAGAGUGACAGGUGGUGCAUGGAUUGUCGUCAGCUCGUGUCGUGAGAUGUUGGGUUAAGUCCCCGCAACGAGCGCAACCCUUUGAUCUUAGUUGCCAGCAWUCAGUUGGGCACUCUAAGGUGACUGCCGGUUGACAAACCGGA
rnacentral:rRNA from 1 species